UGGCGGACGGGUGAGUAACGCGUGGAAAACCUGCCGUAUACUGGGGGAUAACACUUAGAAAUAGGUGCUAAUACCGCAUAAGCGCACAGCUUCGCAUGAAGCGGUGUGAAAAACUCCGGUGGUAUGAGAUGGACCCGCGUCUGAUUAGUUAGUUGGUGAGGUAACGGCCCACCAAGGCGACGAUCAGUAGCCGGACUGAGAGGUUGGCCGGCCACAUUGGGACUGAGAUACGGCCCAGACUCCUACGGGAGGCAGCAG
rnacentral:rRNA from 1 species